rnacentral:rRNA from 1 species
GACGAACGCUGGCGGCGUGCUUAACACAUGCAAGUCGAACGGAAAGGCCCUGCUUUUGUGGGGUGCUCGAGUGGCGAACGGGUGAGUAACACGUGAGUAACCUGCCCUUGACUUUGGGAUAACUUCAGGAAACUGGGGCUAAUACCGGAUAGGAGCUCCUGCUGCAUGGUGGGGGUUGGAAAGUUUCGGCGGUUGGGGAUGGACUCGCGGCUUAUCAGCUUGUUGGUGGGGUAGUGGCUUACCAAGGCUUUGACGGGUAGCCGGCCUGAGAGGGUGACCGGCCACAUUGGGACUGAGAUACGGCCCAGACUCCUACGGGAGGCAGCAGUGGGGAAUAUUGCACAAUGGGCGGAAGCCUGAUGCAGCAACGCCGCGUGCGGGAUGACGGCCUUCGGGUUGUAAACCGCUUUCGCCUGUGACGAAGCGUGAGUGACGGUAAUGGGUAAAGAAGCACCGGCUAACUACGUGCCAGCAGCCGCGGUGAUACGUAGGGUGCGAGCGUUGUCCGGAUUUAUUGGGCGUAAAGGGCUCGUAGGUGGUUGAUCGCGUCGGAAGUGUAAUCUUGGGGCUUAACCCUGAGCGUGCUUUCGAUACGGGUUGACUUGAGGAAGGUAGGGGAGAAUGGAAUUCCUGGUGGAGCGGUGGAAUGCGCAGAUAUCAGGAGGAACACCAGUGGCGAAGGCGGUUCUCUGGGCCUUUCCUGACGCUGAGGAGCGAAAGCGUGGGGAGCGAACAGGCUUAGAUACCCUGGUAGUCCACGCUGUAAACGGUGGGUACUAGGUGUGGGGUCCAUUCCACGGGUUCCGUGCCGUAGCUAACGCUUUAAGUACCCCGCCUGGGGAGUACGGCCGCAAGGCUAAAACUCAAAGGAAUUGACGGGGCCCCGCACAAGCGGCGGAGCAUGCGGAUUAAUUCGAUGCAACGCGUAGAACCUUACCUGGGUUUGACAUGGAUCGGGAGCGCUCAGAGAUGGGUGUGCCUCUUUUGGGGUCGGUUCACAGGUGGUGCAUGGCUGUCGUCAGCUCGUGUCGUGAGAUGUUGGGUUAAGUCCCGCAACGAGCGCAACCCUUGUUCACUGUUGCCAGCACGUUAUGGUGGGGACUCAGUGGAGACCGCCGGGGUCAACUCGGAGGAAGGUGGGGAUGACGUCAAGUCAUCAUGCCCCUUAUGUCCAGGGCUUCACGCAUGCUACAAUGGCUGGUACAGAGAGUGGCGAGCCUGUGAGGGUGAGCGAAUCUCGGAAAGCCGGUCUCAGUUCGGAUUGGGGUCUGCAACUCGACCUCAUGAAGUCGGAGUCGCUAGUAAUCGCAGAUCGGCAACGCUGCGGUGAAUACGUUCCCGGG